rnacentral:rRNA from 1 species
AUGAACGCUGGCGGCGUGCCUAAUACAUGCAAGUCGAGCGAACAGACGAGGAGCUUGCUCCUCUAACGUUAGCGGCGGACGGGUGAGUAACACGUGGAUAACCUACCUAUAAGACUGGGAUAACUUCGGGAAACCGGAGCUAAUACCGGAUAAUAUAUUGAACCGCAUGGUUCAAUAGUGAAAGACGGUUUUGCUGUCACUUAUAGAUGGAUCCGCGCCGCAUUAGCUAGUUGGUAAGGUAACGGCUUACCAAGGCAACGAUGCGUAGCCGACCUGAGAGGGUGAUCGGCCACACUGGAACUGAGACACGGUCCAGACUCCUACGGGAGGCAGCAGUAGGGAAUCUUCCGCAAUGGGCGAAAGCCUGACGGAGCAACGCCGCGUGAGUGAUGAAGGUCUUCGGAUCGUAAAACUCUGUUAUUAGGGAAGAACAAAUGUGUAAGUAACUAUGCACGUCUUGACGGUACCUAAUCAGAAAGCCACGGCUAACUACGUG